UAGGGAAUCUUCCGCAAUGGACGAAAGUCUGACGGAGCAACGCCGCGUGAGCGAUGAAGGCCUUCGGGUCGUAAAGCUCUGUUGUCAGGGAAGAACAAGUACCGGAGUAACUGCCGGUACCUUGACGGUACCUGACCAGAAAGCCACGGCUAACUACGUGCCAGCAGCCGCGGUAAUACGUAGGUGGCAAGCGUUGUCCGGAAUUAUUGGGCGUAAAGCGCGCGCAGGCGGUCCUUUAAGUCUGAUGUGAAAGCCCACGGCUCAACCGUGGAGGGUCAUUGGAAACUGGGGGACUUGAGUGCAGAAGAGGAAAGUGGAAUUCCAAGUGUAGCGGUGAAAUGCGUAGAGAUUUGGAGGAACACCAGUGGCGAAGGCGACUUUCUGGUCUGUAACUGACGCUGAGGCGCGAAAGCGUGGGGAGCAAACA
rnacentral:rRNA from 1 species